rnacentral:rRNA from 1 species
AAACUUUCAACAACGGAUCUCUUGGUUCUGGCAUCGAUGAAGAACGCAGCGAAAUGCGAUAAGUAGUGUGAAUUGCAGAAUUCAGUGAAUCAUCGAAUCUUUGAACGCACAUUGCGCCCCUUGGUAUCCCCGAGGG